rnacentral:rRNA from 1 species
GUGGGGAAUAUUGGACAAUGGGCGAAAGCCUGAUCCAGCCAUGCCGCGUGUGUGAAGAAGGCCUUCGGGUCGUAAAGCUCUGUCAUCGGGGACGAACGGCCUCAGCAGGUAAUGGCUGGGGAUUGACGGUACCCGAGAAGGAAGCCACGGCUAACUACGUGCCAGCAGCCGCGGUAAUACGUAGGUGGCAAGCGUUGUCCGGAAUUAUUGGGCGUAAAGCGCGCGCAGGCGGGAUAUCAAGUCUGUCUUAAAAGUGCGAGGCUCAACCUCGUGAGGGGACAGAAACUGGUAUUCUUGAGUGUCGGAGAGGAAAGUGGAAUUCCAAGUGUAGCGGUGAAAUGCGUAGAGAUUUGGAAGAAUACCAGUGGCGAAGGCGACUUUCUGGACGAUGUCUGACGCUGAGGCGCGAAAGCUAGGGGAGCGAACGGGAUUAGAAACCCCUGUAGUCC